AACAAUAAUGUGUGUGGAAAUUCCACAAGCCUGUGACCAGUACUUAUAGACUUUGUUUUGACCUCAAAUAAUGAGAAAUCAAGAAAGGUGUCCUGAGAUGUGAUAAAGGACUGCUCGGCUCCGUCUGCGGGCUGAGUCGAAGUGGCUCCCUGCUCUUGAUCUUCCUUUGGCUCUGUCUGGAGGAAAAGAAGACUCAUAAGACACCAAAGAAUGCAAACAUUUCAACUCAACGAUGACAAGUUCUCACAGGUCAAGUGGAAGAACAUGCAAUAUUUUAUGCCUUUUCAAGCACAAUUAUCUGCUGGCUUCUGAUGACAUUUAAUUUUCAUUCAGAUCAACAUAAUUUACUUGUCUUUCAUCAUCAUACUACCUGAUGAUGUGAAAUAUGCAUGAGGACAGAAAGAUGGUGAGAAGUUCAGCGAGCCAGGACUCUGCUCUUCCACACACUUACUGCAACUCUGCUUAACACUUAGAAAAGCUUAUUUUUCCCUGGAUAAUUUCCAAUGCAAAUGUAAAAGUCACAUUUAUAGUCAUUUUGUGUCAAUAGGAACUUUAUAUAAUAAAAGUGUUUACACAUUUUUCUAGUUAGCCUUAACUGUCAACUUAACACAGCCUUGUAAAUUUUACUAUCUCUCCAUUGUGAAGUUAAAAACAAAACUAAUUCCUUGAGAAGUCAUACGGCAUAUUUUGAUCACAUUUAUCCCCAACUCAUCCCCUUAAUUCCUAUAAUUUGUCUCUAUCUCCCCAAGCUCCCUAAUUUCAUGUUUUCUUUCAUUUGUUUUAUUUAAUAAACUAAUGACUUCAA